rnacentral:rRNA from 1 species
AGUAACGGCGAGUGAAGCGGCAACAGCUCAAAUUUGAAAUCUGGCCCCCAGGGCCCGAGUUGUAAUUUGCAGAGGAUGCUUUUGGCGCGGUGCCUUCCGAGUUCCCUGGAACGGGACGCCAUAGAGGGUGAGAGCCCCGUCUGGUCGGACACCAAGCCAGUGUAAAGCUCCUUCGACGAGUCGAGUAGUUUGGGAAUGCUGCUCUAAAUGGGAGGUAUAUGUCUUCUAAAGCUAAAUACCGGCCAGAGACCGAUAGCGCACAAGUAGAGUGAUCGAAAGAUGAAAAGCACUUUGAAAAGAGGGUUAAACAGUACGUGAAAUUGUUGAAAGGGAAGCGUUUAUGACCAGACUUGGGCCCGGUGAAUCAUCCAGCGUUCUCGCUGGUGCACUUUGCCGGGCUCAGGCCAGCAUCAGUUCGUCGCGGGGGACAAAAGCUUCGGGAACGUGGCUCCCUCGGGAGUGUUAUAGCCCGUUGCAUAAUACCCUGCGGUGGACUGAGGUUCGCGCUCCGCAAGGAUGCUGGCGUAAUGGUCAUCAGCGACCCGUCUUGAAACACGGACCAAGGAGUCGUCUUCGUAUGCGAGUGUUCGGGUGUCAAACCCCUACGCGUAAUGAAAGUGAACGCAGGUGAGAGCUUCGGCGCAUCAUCGACCGAUCCUGAUGUUCUCGGAUGGAUUUGAGUAAGAGCAUACGGGGCCGGACCCGAAAGAAGGUGAACUAUGCCUGUAUAGGGUGAAGCCAGAGGAAACUCUGGUGGAGGCUCGCAGCGGUUCUGACGUGCAAAUCGAUCGUCAAAUAUGGGCAUGGGGG